GACGAACGCUGGCGGCGUGCUUAACACAUGCAAGUCGAACGGAAAGGCCUUUUCGGAGGUACUCGAGUGGCGAACGGGUGCGUAACACGUGGGUGAUCUGCCCUGCACUCUGGGAUAAGCCUGGGAAACUGGGUCUAAUACCGGAUAGGACCGCACUUUAGUGUGUGUGGUGGAAAGUUUUUUCGGUGUAGGAUGAGCCCGCGGCCUAUCAGCUUGUUGGUGGGGUAAUGGCCUACCAAGGCGGCGACGGGUAGCCGGACUGAGAGGUUGGUCGGCCACAUUGAGACUGACGGACGGCCCAGACUCCUACGGGAGGCAGCAGGGGGGAAGAUUGCACAAUGGGCGCCAGCCUGGUGCAGCGAGGCCGCGGAGGGGAUGACGGCCUUCGGGUUGUAAACUCCUUUCGCCAGGGACGAAGCGUUUUGUGACGGUACCUGGAGAAGAAGCACCGGCUAACUACGUG
rnacentral:rRNA from 1 species